GCUGUCUAGUUGAUAAGUUGCCUCGCCUUAGAGCAAGUAUUAUAGUGGGCUGUAAGCCGGUUAAAUGCUGAGGUGGAGGAGAGAGAAGAAGAGAGAGAGAGUAAAAGCGGGCUGUAAGCUUACAGCCGGCUCAGACACAAGAACCAAGAAAGUUUGUGAGAGAGACAAGUGGACCAUAUAUUAAUAGUGAUGAGCUAACCAUUAUAUGAGUAAGCUAAAAAAGCUAUAGAGAAACCUUACGCCCAGUAGCUGACUGUAUUAUUAGCCUUGCUCUUACGCUCUUGGGAACUAAAGAUAGAGGGCCAUAGCUCCAUUUUUUGUUGUCGUGAAUUUCGAAGCUAGAGGCUUAUGGAUACUUUCGAUAAAGGUUUAUGUAAUUACAUAGUAACACUGAUAUAACCAAUACAUAAUAAAUGUUGUAUUUUAGGAUACGGGGAGUAGUUAUUUUAGUCCAUCAAGUUUGCCUCAUGUUCAAUUUCUUCCCAUCUUGCGAGUCCUAAUAAUUUACUUUUACACUCGGUUUUAUUCUAAAAUCAUCAAAGGGUGCUUUCGGUUGAGCUACAACUAUGGCUACAAUUGCAGCCCGUGAACUAGCAUCUGCUAUAGCAAUAAUUUUUGCAGCCGCAACAGCCGCAA
rnacentral:lncRNA from 1 species